rnacentral:misc_RNA from 1 species
AUUUUCCCGCGUUAGGGAUCGCAGCGGCAUCCCCGUAGCGGAGCGAGGGAUAUAGCGAAGAGCCCGCCCGACG